AUGGAGAAGUUCCUGUUCGAGGAGCUGGCCGGGGACGCCGUGCGGGAGCUGCUGCGCGCGGUGCAGGGCACCUUCCUGUGCCGCUCCACCGCCGAGCGCCUGCGCCGGAACGUCGAGCCGCUGCUGCCCCUCGUGCAGCAGAACGGCCGCCACGCGCUCCGCAGCAACGCCGAGCUGGGCGAGCUCGCCGUGCAGCUCAGGGAGGCGCUCGACCUCGCGCGCCGCGCCGCCGCCGCCCCGCGCUGGAACGUCUACCGCACCGCGCAGCUGGCGCGCAGGAUGGAGGCCGCCGACAAGGGCAUCGAGCGCUGGCUGGCGCGCCACGCACCCGCGCACGUGCUCGACGGCGUGCGCCGCCUCCGCGACGAGGCCGAGGCGCGCAUCGGCCGCCUGGAGCGCCGCGUCGAGGAGGUCGCCGCGAUGCAGGCGCCCCCCACGAUCCCGCCCGCCAUGUCCCUCCCCGUCGCGCUACCGCCGCCGCCCUCCAAGGGCAUGGCGAUGGCGGUGGAGGUGGCGCCGCCGACCAAGGGCAUGGGCAUGCCGAUGGAGGUGGCGCCGCCGACCAAGGGCAUGGGGAUUCCGAUGGAUUUCGACCUCCCGUGCGAGGAGGAGAGCAAGGGCGGCGGCUUGGUGGGAAGCGGCGUCAAGGUGGGCAAGGAGAGAGUGAAGGAGAUGGUGAUGAGCAGCGGCGGCGGCUGGGAGGUCGUCGGCAUCUGCGGCAUGGGCGGCAGCGGCAAGACCACGCUCGCCAUGGAGAUCUAUAAGGAUCAAAAGAUCCAAGGCUACUUCAACAACAGGGUCUUCUUUGAGACGGUCUCGCAGUCCGCAAAUCUGGAGACCAUCAAGAUGAAGCUGUGGGAGCAGAUCAGCAGCAAUAUUGUGCUUGGUGCAUAUAACCAGAUCCCGGAAUGGCAGCUCAAGUUAGGGCCGAGGGACCGAGGACCAGUUCUUGUUAUACUUGAUGAUGUGUGGUCUCUCUCACAGCUCGAGGAGCUGGUCUUCAAGUUCCCUGGCUGCAAGACUCUUGUCGUAUCAAGGUUGAAGUUCCCUACGUUAGUCUCCCGGACAUACGAAAUGAAAUUACUCGGCGAUGAGGAGGCUUUGUCUCUCUUCUGCAGUGCUGCCUUCAAUCAGGAGUCUGUUCCUCAGACUGCUGACAAGAAACUGGUUAAGCAGGUUGCUGCCGAGUGCAGAGGGCUUCCUCUAGCUCUCAAGGUUAUCGGCGCAUCCUUGCGUGAUCAGCCUCCUAUGAUAUGGUUGAGCGCGAAGAACCGCUUGUCACGAGGAGAGUCUAUAUCGGACUCACAUGAGACCAAACUCCUCGAGAGAAUGGCAGCAAGUGUCGAGUGCUUGUCGGGAAAGGUCAGGGAAUGUUUCCUUGACCUGGGCUGCUUCCCAGAGGAUAAGAAGAUCCCUCUUGAUGUGUUGAUCAAUAUUUGGAUGGAGAUACAUGAUCUUGACAAGCCAGAUGCUUUUGCCAUCCUCAUGGAGCUAUCGAACAAGAACCUGCUUACCCUAGUUAAUGAUGCACAGAAUAAAGCUGGAGAUUUAUACAGUAACUAUCAUGACUACUCAGUGACGCAACAUGAUGUGUUGCGUGAUCUGGCACUUCACAUGAGUGGCCGUGAUUCUCUGAACAAACGGAGGCGGUUAGUGAUGCCAAGAAGAGAAGAAUCGCUUCCGAGAGAUUGGCAGAGGAAUAAGGACCUUCCUUUUGAAGCUCAGAUUGUUUCUAUUCAUACAGGUGAGAUGAAAGAAUCUGACUGGUUCCAGAUGAGCUUCCCCAAGGCAGAAGUUCUUAUCCUCAACUUCGCCUCAAGUGUAUACUACCUCCCGUCGUUCAUUGCAACAAUGCAGAACCUGAAGGCCCUGGUGCUGAUCAACUAUGGUACCACCAGUGCAGCCCUUGACAAUUUGUCUGCCUUCACCACACUAAGUGACCUGAGGAGUCUUUGGCUGGAAAAGAUUACGCUCCCGCCGCUGCCGAAAAGCACAAUCCCACUGAAGAACCUGCGCAAGAUCUCCCUCGUCCUUUGUGAGCUGAACAACAGCCUAAGAGGAUCGACGAUGGAUCUCUCCAUGACGUUUCCGCGCCUAUCCAACCUCACCAUCGACCAUUGCGUAGAUCUGAAGGAGCUGCCACCUAGUGUGUGUGAAAUCAGCUCGCUGGAGAGCAUCUCCUUGUCAAACUGCCAUGACCUCACAGAGCUGCCAUAUGAGCUGGGCAAGCUGCACUGCCUGAGCAUCCUGCGGGUGUACGCCUGCCCGGCGCUGUGGAAGCUUCCGCCGUCGGUAUGCAGCCUGAAGAGGCUGAAAUACCUGGACAUAUCGCAGUGCAUUAACCUCACAGACCUUCCAGAAGAGCUUGGCCACCUGACAAACCUAGAGAAGAUCGACAUGCGGGAAUGCUCGCGGUUGAGGAGCCUCCCGAGGUCCUCCUCGUCGCUGAAGUCCCUCGGGCACGUCGUGUGCGACGAGGAGACGGCGAUGCUGUGGAGGGAGGCCGAGCAGGUCAUCCCGGACCUCCGUGUGCAGGUAGCAGAAGAGUGUUACAACCUGGACUGGCUUGUAGACUGA
rnacentral:rRNA from 1 species